rnacentral:misc_RNA from 1 species
GUGAAUCAUCGAAUUUUUGAACGCAAAUUGCACUCUCUUCGGAGAGUAUGCCUGUUUUAGGGUCAGCCUAAAAAAAAAUCUCCAUAGUUUCUGUUACGCGGUAACAUUCGUCGGAAAUUGGGUCAUCUUAAACCUUUGGGUUUACGCGGCUUAACAUUUUCUUUACGAUUCCAAUAACUUGGCUAAGAUUUUAUUUUCUUCUACGUUUAAGGUACCGAUCUUUAUUAGACGUGGCCGUUGCAUCAGAUCUCGUCCAUAAUUAUUUCUUUA